UAUUGGUCAAUGGUCGGGAGACUGAACCAGCCAAGCCGCGUGAGGGAGGAAGGUACAGAGUAUCGUAAACCUCUUUUGUCAGGGAACAAAGGCGGGGACGUGAUCCCGGAUGAGUGUACCUGAAGAAAAAGAAUCGGCUAACUCCGUGCCAGCAGCCGCGGUAAUACGGAGGUUGAGAGCGUUAUCCGGAUUUAUUGGGUUUAAAGGGUGCGCAGGCGUUCUGUUCAGUCAGCGGUCAAAGCCCGGGGCUCAACCCCGGCCCGCCGUUGAAACUGGCAGUCUCGAGUUGGAGAGAAGUAUGCGGAAUGCGCGGUGUAGCGGUGAAAUGCAUAGAUAUCGCGCAGAACUCCGAUUGCGAAGGCAGCAUGCCGGCUCCACACUGACGCUGAGGCACGAAAGCGUGGGUAUCGA
rnacentral:rRNA from 1 species